CAGUUCCCACCCCGGCCCCCCGGCGCCCCCCCCGCGGGCUGGCGCGGGCCGGAGCGCCCGGGGCUGACAGGCCAGCCCCAGGAGGGCGUCCUCCGAGACGGGGCCGCCUUUUACCUGUAGGAUAUUCGACGUGGGUGAGGGUCACCGGCCGCCAUGAAGCGGGGAGCGAGCACUGUCCGUCCGCUGCCAUCUUACCCGGAGACCGGGCUUCGCCGAGUAGCCAAUGGGGAGCCAGGGGGGCGGUGGUCCUGACCUAUCACGCCGGGGAGGCGCCGCGUGCCCAAUCGGAGGCCGAUCCAGGUAGCGGCGCAGCCAUUUAGCGUGCGGGCCCUGAGGCUGACCCGAGCGGCGAAUCAGAGAGCGGGGCCCCGGAGCACGCGAGCCGACCGCGCCGGCGCCCAAUCCGGGGCGAGCGCAGGUAGGAGCCUGGCCAAUCGGAGGGGAGGAGGGUUCCAGCGCACCACGGAGACCAGAGCAGCCAGUCACAAGGUGGAGCUGAAAGCUACCUCCAGUUGAUCAGAAGAAGAUGUUUUUCAGAUUCCAAGCAGAUACUACAGUAACCAGUAAUUCUUCCCUCGGCAUGAUUAUGGCGUUGUGGUUCUGUCAGAAAGCUACCUUCUUUAAGAUCUGCCUGUUCAAGUGUUUGGGGGUGAAGGGAGUACAUGUCUGACACUCUGAGAUAUUUUACCUAAGAAAUAUUUAUAAGAAGUAAAUUUGGCAAAAUGUA